rnacentral:rRNA from 1 species
GAAAGGGAAUCGGGUCAAUAUUCCCGAACCCGGACGCGGAGAUCGGGCCCUCGGGCUCAAGUGCGGUAACGCAACCGAACUCGGAGAUGUCGACGGGAGUCCCGGGAAGAGUUGUCUUUUCUUUGUAAGGGUUCGGGUCCCUGGAAUCGGCUCGUCCGGAGAUAGGGAUGCUGUUCCCGUAAAGCACCGCGGCUCUUGCGGUGUCUGGAGCGCUCCUGUCGGCCCUUGAAAAUCCGAGGGAGGAGGUGUGAUUUUCGUGCCGGUCCGUACCCAUAUCCGCAGCAGGUCUCCAAGGU